AAGCAGUAAUUUUUUGCAAAACUUAAGUGCAGUGAAAGUUCAGUCCCCAACUGAAAAAACACACAUUUUCGUCCAGAAAAAAAGUGUGUUGGCUAGCUCUCAGCAGGGAUAGGAAUAAAAGAAAGAAAUAAAGGACAGCAUGCUGGAGAAGCUUACCAAAAACCCUGCUAUUGGUGCUCCCUAAACAGUGAUAAAUGUUACUUCAAGCAAAGAAAAGGCAAAUUAACAUUAUAGUGCUCUCAAUAGAACUAAGCACGUUAUUGCCAAGGCAUCUUCGUUUUUCUACAGGUUUCUCGUCAGCUGUAUGAAUUGUACAAGUCAUGUUAGCAUAGCAGCAGGUAACCAGCCAUACCUUUGCUUCACCUGCUUACAGCCUUAGAGAAUUCAGAGCUUUACAGUUCCUUGCUGGCAAAGGCUUUUUGUCUUAUUGGCACAUUAACUCAGCUUUGGCCUGCCACAUAUUUUAGUCUAACUGACAACAUUCAUAUUGCCAUAAAAUCAGUCAAUAGCCUCUGAUUCUACUAAAGUUGUGCUAAAACAUACAACAUGCUAUUGCAAAGCUUCUGAUCUGCCACUGCCUUUUAGUUAGGCUGCAGAAACUCCCCUUCACAGUCAAAGGUUGCAUAGAAACUUGUGUACAUCCAUUUCCUACACUGGCCUGGAAGCUCCUGCAAGGCAGCUACCUACUGUUUUGCUCUGAGGCUGUAACAUAUGGGAAAGAUGCCUGGCUGCUCUCCAGAACCUAGGCACCUGCAGCAGGUGAAUCACAUUGUAGUGAACCAGCACAGUCUCAAUCAGCAUCAGCUGUUCCAUUAACAGAAAGAAAUUAUCCCAGAGGACUUGCAGCUCCUGGGUAGAAUCUCUGGCUGCACAGGAGAUUGUGGAAAACUAGUGGACUGAGAGGAAAUAUAUACAAGCUUUUCCUGCACUGCUUCUGAAAGGAUCUGUCCUACAAAGCUGUAGAGGAUGAAAGAGAGAGGGCUUUUUUUUUUUCCUUUAAAUUUGUUGCAGGUUUUUUGAAAGGUUAGUCUGUUUAAUUUGAGUGAAAUUUCUCUCAUAGUCAGUUUGUGCUGCCAAAGGAACAAAUGAUUUGGAGGUACAGAAUGGGGCCUGGUAAAUGGUGAAGAACAAAGUAAUAUUGUGAUAGGUUGUUGCAGACUUAAAAGGCACCUGAGGACAGCAUGAAGCAUAUAAUGAAGUCAUAUAACUGUUAGGGAAGCUCACACAAAAGAGCAAGGCAUCUGGGAACUCAGCAGAGUUUUGCUUUGACAAAUGACCUCAUUUACCACCUUGACAAACACUGACUGUACUGACCAAUGUUGCAUACAGCUCUGAUUUAAGCCAUCACUACACAGAAAUUGCCAGUUGCUGCCCGUUUCCUAUGGCUCU